CCUACGGGUGGCAGCAGUGGGGAAUCUUCCGCAAUGGGCGAAAGCCUGACGGAGCAACGCCGCGUGAUCGAAUGAAGGCCUUCGGGUUGUAAAGUUCUUUUGUCAGGGACGAAUAAGCCAUGCGAAUAGUUUGGUGUAUGACCGUAACUAUUUAGAAAGGUCCGGCUAACUACGUGCCAGCAGCCGCGGUAAUACGUAGGGGGCAAGCGUUGUCCGGAAUUACUGGGCGUAAAGGGCGCGUAGGUGGGUGCUUAAGUCAGGUGUGAAAACUCCGGGCUCAACCUGGGGACUGCACUUGAAACUGGGUGGCUUGAGGGCAGGAGAGGAAAGUGGAAUUCCUGGUGUAGCGGUGAAAUGCGUAGAUAUGAGGAGGAACACCAGUGGCGAAGGCGGCUUUCUGGACUGUACCUGACGCUGAGGCGCGAAAGCGUGGGUAGCGAACGGGAUUAGAUACCCCUGUAGUC
rnacentral:rRNA from 1 species